GAUGAACGCUGGCGGCGUGCCUAAUACAUGCAAGUCGAGCGAACAGAUGAGGAGCUUGCUCCCCUGACGUUAGCGGCGGACGGGUGAGUAACACGUGGAUAACCUACCUAUAAGACUGGGAUAACUUCGGGAAACCGGAGCUAAUACCGGAUAAUAUAUUGAACCGCAUGGUUCAAUAGUGAAAGACGGUUUUGCUGUCACUUAUAGAUGGAUCCGCGCCGCAUUAGCUAGUUGGUAAGGUAACGGCUUACCAAGGCAACGAUGCGUAGCCGACCUGAGAGGAUGAUCGGCCACACUGGAACUGAGACACGGUCCAGACUCCUACGGGAGGCAGCAGUAGGGAAUCUUCCGCAAUGGGCGAAAGCCUGACGGAGCAACGCCGCGUGAGUGAUGAAGGUCUUCGGAUCGUAAAACUCUGUUAUUAGGGAAGAACAAAUGUGUAAGUAACUCUGCACGUCUUGACGGUACCUAAUCAGAAAGCCACGGCUAACUACGUG
rnacentral:rRNA from 1 species